rnacentral:rRNA from 1 species
GCAUAUCAAUAAGCGGGAGGAAAAGAAACUAACAAGGAUUCCCUCAGUAACGGCGAAGUGAAGCGGGAAAAGCUCAAAUUUAAAAAUCUGGUUUGCUUGCAAGCCCGAGUUGUAGUCUGAAGAAACGUUUUCCAUAAGCACUGAGGCAAAAGUCCUUUGGAACAAGGCAUCAUAGAGGGUGAGAAUCCCGUCCAUGGUCUCAAGUUGUUUAUUUUGUGAUACGUUUUCAAAGAGUCAGGUUGUUUGGGAAUGCAGCCUAAAAUGGGUGGUAAAUUUCAUCUAAAGCUAAAUAUUGGCGAGAGACCGAUAGCGAACAAGUACCGUGAGGGAAAGAUGAAAAGAACUUUGAAAAGAGAGUUAAACAGUACGUGAAAUUGUUGAAAGGGAACCGUUUGAAGCCAGUCUUACUUGCCUGUGAUCAAUUUUUGCUUCGGCAUGAAUGCACUCUCGGGUAUGGUAGGCCAACGACAGUUUGGAAUGCGAGAAAAAAAUAGAGGAAAUGUGGCCUUCGGGUGUUAUAGUCCUCUAUAAAAUAUCGUGUUCUGGACUGAGGAUCGCAGCAAAAAUGUGGGCAGGUGGAUUUCUGUGGUAACUGUCGAUUAGGACAACUUGUUGACCUAGUCUUCCUUAGCCUCACUAUUUACCUUGCUUCUAAUUUGCUUAGGUCGUUGGCAUAAUGGCUUUAAAUGACCCGUCUUGAAACACGGACCAAGGAGUCUAACAUAUAUGCGAGUAUUUGGGUGGCAAACCCAUAUGCGCAAUGAAAGUGAAAUUAGGUGCCAAACCUUCACGGGUGGCAGCAUCGGCCGGCUCUGACGUUUUAACUGACGAGUCUGAGCAGAAGCAUACAUGUUGGGACCCGAAAGAUGGUGAACUAUGCCUGAAUAGGGUGAAGCCAGAGGAAACUCUGGUGGAGGCUCGUAGCGAUUUCUGACGUGCAAAUCGAUUCGUCAAAUUUGGGUAAUAAGGGGCGAAAGACUAAUCGAAACCAUCUAGUAGCUGGGUUCCCUGCCGA